rnacentral:tRNA from 1 species
AGGAAGAUAGCUCAGUUGGUAGAGCAGCGGUUUCCAAAACCGAAGGACAUGGGUUCAAGUCCCCUUUUUCCUG